rnacentral:lncRNA from 1 species
UAUACACGUUGCUUAAAUCAAUUUUAUUGCUAACAAAUAAUGAUAAAAAGGCUGCAUUAAUUUUAUAUUUUAUUUGGCAUCGUAAAUCAGAGUUUAAAUAUGCAUUUGGUUGACUUCAAGCCUGAUUACACUGGAAUAGAAUUGAACCUGGUCGAGCACACUUGCAUCCGAGGGACACAUGGCAGCACAAGAUGGAUCCACUAAGGGUCUAAUUUCAUUAUCCGGGAGGAUCCAAAAGCCCGCAACGGAUCUGUGAUUUGAUCUCCCGCAACCCCUCAUCCAGAUCCCGCGAUCAAAGCCCUCAUCUUCCGCCCGUUUAAGGCGCUUCCCAGCUUCCUCCUUCCGCUUGCGCCCGAGUCCGAGCGUCCCAGUCAUCCCGUCCGCUCAAUCCGCCUCCUCCAGCGAUGCAACAUUUCCAUCUCCAGCUCCCGGAUCAAGCAACGUCACCUCCCAGUGCGGCAUCUCCUCCGGUUUAUCUCACAUCCGAGCCCAACGUCCGCUUCCGCCCGUACCAAGCUCUCAGCAUCCCGUUCUUCCGCUUCAUCUCCCAGCCAAUUAACAGCCGGAACUCGCGUCCG